ACUGUUCACACGUAUACUGACCCACCUCCACCCAGCGGGAAAGCGCCCAGUUUAGUGUGUAGGGAGGUGCGUGAGAGUUCGUUUCCCGUGUGUCCCUUGGCUGUCUCAAAAUAUUAGCAAUGGCCCCAAAAAACAUUCGCAGGCGGAACGCAGCUUUAUUAUGCAUACUUACUGCAGGCAAAGUAGUAAAGGACAGUGGAAAAGACCGAAAAAGAAGGGUUUGGGUUAAAGACUGGUUAUAACAUAAAGAACGUGGGAGCUACCACCAAAUUUGCAGGGAACUGCAACAAAAGGAAUCUCUUGACUUUAACCAGUACCUUAGAAUGUCAUGCGAAUUAUUCCGUCUCCUUCUUAUGAAAGUCAGUCCAUUAAUUAGAAAAGAAAACACCAAUAUGCGGGCACCGAGUCGUCUCACGAUCAGUGGGUAAGUGUGGUGACCGAGCAUGUCGCUGACGAGCUUGGUUCAGCUAUAGAUUUGCGUUGGUAUCGGACCUGCUCGAACAAGGAUGGUGCUUCAGUUUAGCAUGUCUACACGAUCAUUUUCCACGCAUUCAUCUCUCGUUUGCUGAACCACCACACCUGCCCACUGAUCGUCUGACAACUACUUAACGUAAAUAACAAACGGGAAAAAACUCUGAAGCCUGAAGAGUAUAAUACAAUGCAGGCUGAGUGAGGGUCCUGAGGUGGUGCAGGGCUUUGUGUGAGUGUGGCAGCGGAGGCGUAUGGGAUGGUGAAUAAAAGAAAGAAGGCAGCGCAAUGGCAAAACGAAGGAAGAGAAAUGCCAACUGUGAUAUACGACAGAGAAACAAAACAAAGAGGACCACUAGAUUGGCUUCCUUGACCAUCGGCGGACAAGGGAACGUGACACCUAUGGGAGGCGGACACGUGGGCGACACAUCACUGGAAAGGAGCAAGGAAGGUCAACAUGGACGAAGCUGAAGUCGGCAAAGGACCGCAACAGGACCCUCAGGCGGCGUCGAGGGAGAGCAAUGACGUCAGGAAGGCCACCUCAAAAAAGCCUGUUCACGCAGACCUUAUUCCUUCCUGUCAAUAGAAUAUAAGAUCUACUCACUGCUUUGGUGGGCUGAGCUGUGAUGUAACACGUCCCUCACUGACUCUAGUCCUCUUACACCAUAAUCUUCAUGACACAAUUUCACUAGUCAUUCGAUAGGUGGAAGAGGACUCUAGUCGAAGGGACGUGUUUUAUCACAGCUCAGUCUGCCGGAGCAAAGUGAGUAGACCUUGUAUUCUACGGACAGUGAGGCCUGGAAGGAACGAGGCAUGCAUGAACAGGCUGCUAGCUGGGAAGGAGUGCCGCAUCCUCUACAAUGGUGGUGUCCCAAGUUUGGGCGUCUUGUUCCACCAGGGCAGGCAACUCUGGACAUCCGACAGGCUCCACAACACACCACACCUGAAAGAAGCAAACCAAGAUAACAGGACAAAUUGUUAGGAACGGUUUUUAUAAGGAUGUGAAAAGCUUUAUCGAAUAUACUACUGAUGGGGAGA